UUAACCACAAUAAGGUAUACUGAUAAUUUACAAAUGAUUGUUUACUAACAAUAUCAGUACCUCUUAUCGAUUCAAUAAUUAUGUAUAGAGUAAUAAUUUUAAAAUUUUAAUUAAUUGAUGAUCCACAGAAUGUUAUGUUUUUGAUGGCCCUAUUGAGGCUUAUAAUUUGGAAGAAACUGAAAAGGAAAGUCAAUCUACAUCAGAUGCCGGUACGUUGGAAGCUGAUCCGUUUUUCGAAACCCCUUCAACAUCAUUCAAGUCUUUUAAGGCGAAUUCAAUGCCAGAAAAGUCUUUCGACAAACCAUCGAUGGCUAAAAAGGCAUCAGAUCAAAAAAAAUUAAAAAAAGUACUGAUAUAAAGAAUUGGAGCAAAAAUGAGGUUUUACUUCUUAUUGCGGCUUAUAAAGAACAUCAACUUGAAUUCCUGGACGUAAAUGUUAACAAUGAUGAAGUUUGGAAAAAAGUUGCGAAUGACGUCAACGAAACCCUUAGUGUGCAGGACUUGCCGCCCAUUGCUAACGAGAAAUUGAAGACUAAAUGGGAAACGCUCAAACGUCAUUACAAAGGUUUAAAAGAUAGCAACAAAAAAUCGGGGAACUCCUCAAUAACAUGGGCUUUCUAUGAUGAAAUGGAAGAAGUAUUUGGUGAGCAACCAUGGGUUAAACCUCUUUCUACUGCCGGAUCAAAUUCUACCAAUAAAAUGGGUACU